UGAGGAACGUGGUAAGGACUUUUGAGCUCUCUCCGUGAGAUCUGGGACUUAGCACACCUAUGUGGUCCUGGCAAAAGGGGAAGAACAUCUGGCUGACCGGGAAUGAAGCCCACUCGGGGCUGAGCGGGCCCUGUGCAGUGUACUUGACUUCAUUUCUUAGAUUCAGCAAGGUCACCGUGAGGCAGGAGAGCAUGUGGAGCAGAGUAGAGGAAGAAUCCCAUGGCUCUGAGUUGGCCGAGUGUAGCCCGACACAAAAUGGUCUCUGGAUAGCACUAGCUAGGUUUUGUCAUUAUUAUUGGAUAAUCUCCUGUCCUCCAGCUUUCCACAGCCAGGCUGUCCUUAGGAGCCACCACGUCCCCGGAGGCACGAAGGCCCACGACCGUCACUUCCUCCCCAAGGCCUGGUCUCUUGUGCCUGGUGAGUGACAGCAAGACAUUUAGUCAUCCGGGGUCUCCGUUUUCCUUUUUCUGUAAAAGGGGCUGAGCGUCCCUCAGGUUUAUGGAGAGUUUUGAAGGAACAAGGCAGAUACGUUGCUCAGCGAUGUCUGACCUGGAGCACACACUCCAGCCAAGUCACCCAUGAUGGUCUUCGUAAUCGCCAUGACCGGGCGCUCUGUCAGAGGCCACUCUCCGAAUGGUGCAUCCUCUGCAACUUUCCCCUCUCUGGCUCUGCUGCGUCUCCCCAGGGCUCCAACAACCCUGUCACUGAAAUCAGGUGGAGACCGAGUCCCAUUUUACUAAAACCAUGAGAAUAUGGUGAACAACAUGCUGAUGGUUUUAACUGCCUUAAAGGAUACAGCUCAGGGGCACUGAGAGCAGCCCUUAUGGUCGUCAUUGUCACCAAGACUUCCUUGUCUUCCCAGACCCCAACUUUGUCCCUUUUACACCAAGCACUGUCUCACCAGCCACCAGAUGCUGGCAACCUCUGUUGUCUGUCUCUACCUGUCUGACCCACCUUGGCACCUCAUGUCAGUGGAUCAUACAUCCAUUGAUCUUUCUGUGAUUGGUUUGUUUUCUGGAACAUGGUGUGCACAAGUGUUAAUGAAAUGGCACACAUCAGCAUGUACUCCAUUUUUGAGACUAUAUAAUAUUUCUUUUGUGGGUUUCAGUUAUUCAUAGAGAAACACUAGCCAUCUCCAUCCUUUUGAUAUAGUGAAAAUGAAUGCUAUGUAUUGACAUGAAUGUACAUGUGCUGUAUCUGUUGGAUUCUUUUGAUUCAUACAUAUAUAGCCACGAUGUACCACAGACACAGGCACGUUUUCCUCUGCCCCCUGGGAUUAGCAGGCCAAGUGAAGGAAUAGAGCAAGACCUUUCAUGGACCACAUAAGAACCAUGGACACGAGUUGUGCUUGUUCUGCUUAGCCAAGGGCCAGGAGGAAAGCCCAGCAUCCUAUCAGUAUUUUGGGCAAACAGGUAUGAGCCCAACACAGAAAGAACUCAAAGCAGCCAACAAGUCAAAGAUGGAAGUGAGACACCCAUUAGCAGACACAUUCAGGAGGGGACAGGUA
rnacentral:lncRNA from 1 species